ACGUGAAGUAGGAAUCGCUAGUAAUCGCAGGUCAGCAUACUGCGGUGAAUACGUUCCCGGGCCUUGUACACACCGCCCGUCACACCAUGGAAGUUGGCCAUGCCCGAAGUCGUUACUCCAACCCUUGUGGAGGAGGACGCCGAAGGUGGGGCUAAUGACUGGGGUGAAGUCGUAACAAGGUAGCCGUACCGGAAGGUGCGGCUGGAUCACCUCCUAACAGGGAGACAACAAAAUGUUUAAUAUUAUUAUUUUGUCACCUUAGGUCGAUCGGUAUCUCACGUUCUUAAUUAAUUAAGAAUUUCAUUUCCUAAGUUUUUCUAGGUCACACCCAUUAUUUUUCCUGGGCCAUUAGCUCAGGUGGUUAGAGCGCACCCCUGAUAAGGGUGAGGUCCCUGGUUCAAGUCCAGGAUGGCCCAUAUCUCUAUGUUGGGGGUAUAGCUCAGUUGGUAGAGCGCCUGCUUUGCAAGCAGGAUGUCAGCGGUUCGAGUCCGCUUACCUCCACUGAUUACCACCUCUUCCAUAAUCUUUAGAAAGGAAAUGUUUUGAGUUGUGAUCAAAUUCUGAACGAAUCUAGCUUCCUAAUGAAUUCAUUAAGAUGCUGGACUCAUUGAAUUAAUUUCAUUGUUUUCAGAGAACCUUGACAACUGCAUAGAUUAUUUUUAAAGACAAUAAGCAUCUUUAAUGAUGCAGAUUUAUUAUUUGUGCGAAUGCAUUAAUAACAAUUCUAUUAAGCUGAUGCUUCAAUUUUGAAGUUAUUGGUCAAGCUACAAAGGGCUCACGGAGGAUACCUAGGCACACAGAGGCGAUGAAGGACGUGGUUACCUGCGAUAAGUCUC
rnacentral:misc_RNA from 1 species